GAAUCAUUUACGACCAGGCUUAAGUGCAUGAACAUACUUUCCCAGACCAGGCAAUCUGUAGAGAGUGCUGCCCUGAGCCUGCAUGGUCAGAAUCUGGGCUCAACAACAUGGCCCCACUACCUUUAUUGGGAUCACCUCAGGCAUUCAACUCCAGGACUGUGGCCACUGUGUGGAUUUGACAGGAAUUUUGCCUCCUUGGAGAGGGCAGGGUUUCACCAGGAGUUUGAAAGAUGGUCUGGAACUUCUCGCAAGUCAGUUUCCACUUGAAGAUGAACAAGAUGAUCUGUUCCAUUAAUUACAUUCGCUGCAUCAACAUGUUA